rnacentral:rRNA from 1 species
AACGAACGCUGGCGGCAUGCCUAACACAUGCCAGUCGAACGAGACCUUCGGGUCUAGUGGCGCACGGGUGCGUAACGCGUGGGAACCUGCCCUUAGGUUCGGAAUAACUCCCCGAAAGGGGUGCUAAUACCGGAUAAUGUCUUCGGACCAAAGAUUUAUCGCCUUUGGAUGGGCCCGCGUUGGAUUAGCUAGUUGGUAGGGUAAAAGCCUACCAAGGCGACGAUCCAUAGCUGGUCUGAGAGGAUGAUCAGCCACACUGGGACUGAGACACGGCCCAGACAGCUACGGGAGGCAGAGGGAGGGAUGAAGGGACAGGGGGCGAAAGCCGGCUGCGGCGAGGCCGGGGGAGUGAAGAGGGUCGUAUGGUUGUAAAGUGCUUUGACCGGGAAUGAUAAAGACGGGAGGGGGAGAUUAAUCUUCGGCAACCGCGGAGCCAGAGGCGGCGGGAAUGUAGCAAGAGCAAACGGCUGAGC